UACGGAGGGGGCUAGCGUUGUUCGGAAUUACUGGGCGUAAAGCGCACGUAGGCGGCGAUCUAAGUCAGAAGGUGAAAGCCCGGGGCUCAACCCCGGAAUAGCCUUUGAGACUGGAUUGCUAGAAUCUUGGAGAGGGCGGGUGGAAUUCCGAGUGUAGAGGUGAAAUUCGUAGAUAUUCGGAAGAACACCAGUGGCGAAGGCGGCCCGCUGGACAAGUAUUGACGCUGAGGUGCGAAAGCGUGGGGAGCAAACAGG
rnacentral:rRNA from 1 species